rnacentral:rRNA from 1 species
UACGUAGGGGGCAAGCGUUGUCCGGAUUUAUUGGGCGUAAAGAGUGUGUAGGCGGCCAUACAAGUCCGUUGUGAAAACUAGAGGCUUAACCUCUAGACGUCGAUGGAAACUGUUUGGCUAGAGUCCGGAAGAGGAGAAUGGAAUUCCUGGUGUAGCGGUGAAAUGCGCAGAUAUCAGGAGGAACACCGAUGGCGAAGGCAGGUCUCUGGGCCACUACUGACGCUGAGAAGCGAAAGCAUGGGGAGCGAACAGG